GAGGGUCACAAGCGGUAAUACGUCAGUCAGUCAAAAUCUAGCUAGUUUUUAAUUUAUUUGUGUUUUAUUUGUUUAUCAACAGUCAUGUCGGACAAUUUGAAACAGCAAUAGCAUACCUAUGAACAACAACGUUGAACUUUAACAGACGACGAUAGAUCUGGUGGCACACCUUUUGAGUUGUUUUGAGCAUGACUAGCCAGGACCCAAGUAGCUUUUAAGUUUUAGGCUUUGACUCAACAUUCAAGUAAAAUAAGUGCUUAAGGACGCAAAAACAAAGAAAGACAGGAGCGUCAACCAGAGGGCUAUGCAAGAUUUGGCUGUAUCUUCCUUCGAAUCAACACAACACCCACCAUCUUGAGGCCUUCCGGGUUUGCUGUUCAAAAAGAAUAAUGGCGCCAAACAGGUGAGCUGCAGCUGUCCUAACUGACUCAAGAUAAGUGGCCCCAAUGACUGAUCAUCGGUCAGUCACAGGACACGCAUAGACAAACAACCACUCACUCCUAUGGACAAUUUAUAUCCCAGCUGACUUCGGAUGAGAGGCGGCUUACACCCUGGACAGUCCCCCCAUUAAUCUACCAUGCAUAGUUAUGCGAUGUGAGAGAAAGUACAGGAGUACCCGGAGAAAACCAACAUGACGAUGUACCGGAACAAGAUUUGAAUCAGGUUUGUCUGGAUGUGAGGCACACAUUCACACCACUAGGACACAGUGUGGCUCUCAAGAAGAGAUGUUGGAAGCCCAAAAGGUCACCUUACUCUGCUUUCAGGUUGUAUAUUUCCGAAUUAGAAUGGUUUGGGGAAAAAUUUGCAUGAAACAUCCGUCAUGUACAAUAAGUAACCCUCCCUCCUGAAGUUUGUUACCGUGUCAAAUGUCAUCAAAAUUUGUUAAGUACAUGUUUUGGGUCCGAUUUUGUUUUUGUUAUAUGUUCUCCCUCUAGGAAAGAUUAUCCAGGAUUUUGAUGAUGUCUCCUACCAUCUGUUUGCUGACGACAUUCAGCUGUACUGUUCUUUUAAGGCUUCGGAGAUACAAAAAUUGAACUCUUUAAUGAAUUGUUUAGUGCAAAUAAAACAAUGGCUCGGCGCUAAUUCCCUUCAACUUAAUUCAGAUAAAACUGAGGUGCUGGUGAUUGCCCCUGAUGAAGCUAUUCCAGGGAUCAAACAGUAUUUGAGUGUUCACAGCCUGUCUUGUAAGUCAAGCCUCAGAAAUCUUGGAGUAAUUUUUGACAAGGAAAUGUCAUUACAGCACCACUCAAAGCAGCUCACUCGGAAUUGUUUCUUUCAGCUAAGAAAAAUCUCGAAACUUCGAACAAUGGUAUCUAAAGGUGAGCUCGAGAUGAUAAUCCAUGCCUUUGUGUCUUCUCGUUUAGACUACUGUAAUAGUUUGUUUUCUUGUCUAAACAAAAAAGAGUUGUCUCGUCUGCAACAGGUUCAAAAUUCUGCUGCGCGGUUAUUGACUCGAUGCAACAGAAGGGCUCACAUCAGGCCGAUUCUGGAAGCUCUCCAUUGGCUCCCUGUCUCAUUCCGUGUGAAUUUUAAAAUCCUGGUGCUCACUUUUAGAGCCUUGCACGGCCAGGCCCCUGUCUACAUACGAGACUUGUUGAUUCCCUAUAACCCCUCUCGGAGGCUGAGAUCGUUAGAUCAAAAUCUACUCAUGGUCCCUCGUAGUCGUUUUAGGACCCGAGGAGACCUAUCUUUUCAGGUUGUUGCGCCGAGGCUCUGGAAUGACCUGCCACCCUCCCUACGUUCGCUUGACUCUGUCGAUGCAUUUAAGAGUAACCUUAAAACUCACUUGUUUUUGCAGGCAUACCCAGCUCAGUAGAUUUAGGGUACUAUGACCAUCAUAUAUUUAUGUCUAUUUUAUUGUAUACUGUUUUUAUGUACUGUUUUAUGUCUAUUUUUAUUGUACAUUGUUUUAUUGUAUUAUUUUUUUAAUGUGUAUUUUAACUCUGUGUUUUGCCUUUUGUGAAGCACUUUGUGACUUCUGUCUGAGAAAGGUGCUAUAUAAAUAAAACUUACUUACUUACUUACUUACUUUUAAUGGAGGCAUACACUAUUUUUUUCUAUUUACAGUGCUUAACUUCUUUUUACACUUGUAUGAGGCUUAAAUAUGUGAAUAGGUAGGAUCUCUGCACUUCCUUAAAUGCACCGGAAAAAGAGCAGUCUUAUUUUGCAGUGCUUAAUGUAUUUUGAUAUAAAAGUUACACGGAAAUUGUAAAGUAAAUAAAGUUCUUAUAGCAAAAAUUUGACCCUGUAACAGAUUAACUCAGUUGCCUUU